rnacentral:lncRNA from 1 species
CUACUUUACGCGCCGUUCUCUCCCACCUUACCACCCUUCAAUCGGCCGUCAACCGUUCAAUUGGCUGUGAGCCCACUAAUAUACUUGUUUGAAUGUUGCCCUAACUAAAUUCCAAAACCCCUCUUCCUCCCUCCCUUUCUCUUAUCUCAUUUUUUUCCUAAAUCCCAUUUGGAUUUCUUCAACCCCAUCACUAGCCGUAUGUUGGCCAGUCUCCGCUAGUAUGGCAACUUCCUGCUGGCUGCCCGAGCCGACAUGAAUGAUGUGCUCGUGGCCCUCGCCCGCAAGGCUGGGUGGAUUGUUGAUACUGACAGCACUACCAACAGACAGUCCUCACAGCCUCUUCCUCCUUCCGCUAAUCUUACUAGUAUUAAUCAUUACAAUAAUAAUACUUCCAAUAUCGUGAAUAUAUUUGGAACUAGAAAAGAACAAGGAUUUUUUAGCUGGUUUUGUUUAUUUAUAGGUUUAUAUAGCCUUUGAAUUGUGUUGUGUUAGUUUGUAGUUGGGGAAAGUGACAAUUUUUAGACCUUUUUGUGCUAUGGUAAACGCUAAGAACAAGAAUUACGGAAUUAUGGAUGUGUGGGUCGUUGUUUAUUAUGAUCUUUGCCAUUUUCGUUCUAUUAGUUUAAAUUUUGAAUAUCUAUGAUAUGACUACCUUGCAGGAGAUGGAUCUUCCUAUCUAGUUAGUAAUUGAAGAGAGGAGAGUAAAAGAAUUUAUUAUUGUAUCUUCAUUAUUGCCUUACUAUAGUUUGAAGGUUGGAAAGUUCUUAAAUGUUGUCCUUUUUGCUAUGAAUGUUCAAACUAAAAUUAUC